AAGAACACACACACACACACACACACACACACACCCCUAGUUUAUCCCACAUUUGGUCUCCUACUGCAGUUCAGUUAAGCUCUUCUAGCAACUAAGAAUAGUUCCGCUCAGAGUGGAGAGUUGAUGGCUCACACCUGAUCUCAGCACUGGAGACUGAAGCAGGAGGAUGACUGUGAGUUUAAAGCCAUCUUGGGCAAUCGAGUGAGAUUCUUUUCUCAAAGGAAAAAAAAAAUUCAGAAGUUUGAUUGAUUUUGAAUUGAAUUUUUGAGAGAGAGUCAUAUAAAGAUUACAGCAUAACUUUGGGGAUGCUGUGGGGAAACAGACGGAGAUGACAGCACCUACACAGAAGAAGUUUGGGCUUACAGGAAGGAAGUCAUGUGAUAUGUUUCCCAUGAGCACUUUGGUGCGUCAGUAUAUGUUCUUGGCCUAGCACACUGUCAUGAGAAUCAUGUGCAUGGUCUUUGGGGUAAAGAUCUUGUGAUAGUGUAUCAACUUGCAUUCUGCAUCAACAUAUUUAGCUCUCUCGUUCUCUUUUGAUAGCUGAGAGUUAUUUUGUUGUGAAAACAGCACUUUGAUUAUGUUAUAAUUGAGUACAGUUGAUGAAUAUUCCUUACUCGCCUCUGAUUUUUGGAGACCAAUAAGUACUUUGAUGGUUUCUGUUUGUCUGUUUUAGCAAAAUGAAUUCAGGGAUGUGUAUCUAUGACUUAAAUGCUACAUUUUCUGUUGCCCAUAUUUAUUAAAUCCUUUAAAGGCUGAAAAGCUGUAGGAUGUGACUUUUUAAAAUAUAAAAACAGGGUAACAUUUCUUUUCCCAUUUAGCCAAAAGGCCAAAGUCUGAUUGUCAGACUGUUAGUCUCCUGGAGAAAAAUAAAGACAAGCUUUCCUUGAGGCAUCGGGACUCUUGUGAGACUCGGACUUGUAGAGAGUGGCACUUGGGGGAUGACCCCUUCAACUCCUGUGAGUAAGGGUAGAGUUAGGGUUGCCAGACCAGGCCCUGGCUUUCAGGUUACUUCCUGCAGCGCCCUUAAAGUGAGCUUAGUUUCUGUCUUGUCACUAGCAACUACACAUCAUAAUGCCACAGAUGAUCUCAAAUCUAGGACCUGUCAAGAGUGGUUCGUACUGUGACUGGAUCAAAAGCAAACAACAACAACAGCAACAGCAAAAGCAGAGAGGGAAAAGGUAAGGGAAGGACCCACAUAUUUUUCUUGUGAGGCUCCCUUGCUGUAUGUUGAAGCUUUGCUCUCUGAUUAGAACUGACCGUUGAACAGAGAGGAUUUACAUCUUUGGGGUCAGGAAGGAGCUUCUAGAUUGUAGUCUCAGUGUUCUCUUUUUCUGGCUCUCCUUAGGCACCCCCAUCCGAUGUGUUUUUUUGUUUUUGUUUUUUUUUUUAAAGCCCUUAGGCACCCCCAUCCGAUGUGUUUUUUUGUUUUUGUUUUUUUUUUUAAAGCCCUUAGGCACCCCCAUCCGAUGUGUUUUUUUGUUUUUGUUUUUUUUUUUAAAGCCCUUAGGCACCCCCAUCCGAUGUGGUUUUUUUUUUUUUUUUUUUAAAGCAUGCUUGAUUUAAUCAGAUGGCAGCCACUGUUCAUCAGCAACCCUCUGAGGUGAGCAGAUAAAGUCAGAACUACGCCCAAAUCCUGUAUGUAUGUAUGUAUGCAUGUAUGUACCUACCCAUCUAUCUAUGACAGUAUCUAUCUAUCUAUCUAUCUAUCUAUCUAUCUAUCUAUCUAUCUAUCUAUCUAUCUAUCUAUCUAUCUACCCAUCUACCCAUCUAUCUAUCUAUCUAUCUAUCUAUCUAUCUAUCUAUCUACCCAUCUAACUAUCUAUCUAUCUAUGACACAGUUUCUUGCCAUGUAGUCCUGCUGGGUAUGUGAGGCUGGCCUUCAACUUCUCAUGACUCUCCUGUCUUACCAUUCCAAGUGCUGGUAAUGGGCACACAUGAUCCCAUCCAAUGUCUUUCUCUCAACAACUUUCCCUAAAUGGCUCAUAAAGGACCUAUGUAAUUUUGUAUCAGAUGGGCUGUGGUUCAGUAUAACACAUUGACUUUGUAUUUUCUUCUCACCUCUAGACUUUAUGUUCCCAUGAGUGUUGGUUCUAGUUUUCCUCAUGCAAGUCAAUGAAUGACCUUGUUCAGGUAUCCCUUGCUGAUUUCCGUUCCUGAGAAAUAAGCUGGGGAGUGUGCUCCUCCCUUGGCAGCGCAGAGAAGAAGGCAUUCAGCAGUUGCUGGUUGAUACAUUUACUUUCUACCUGCUGGCUUUCAACAGUAUUAAUUUUUAUGUACUCAUUGUGGAUUGUGUUUAAUUAAAAGCAGUUCUAUUCACAGAGGCACUUGUAGGUUUUUUUUUUUUUCCCUGAAAUGAAUAAAACAAAUAGGCAUCUGGUAUUUGUUUUGUAUAACACAAUCCCCAUAAAAUGAAGAGUAAUAAAACAUAAUUAUCUGUAAAGGCUUGUUUUAUAAGCCUGAGAAUGGGCUUGUUUCUAUCAGGGUUUUCAAUUCUACUCAUGGGAUAAGGACUCUCUUUGUACAUUAAUACACAACUACAAUAGCAACGAAUGCCUCACAAUUACAUUCAUGAUCCUGCCUUUAUUAAACGAAUGGGGUUUCUUUUGGUUAUAGUGUACAUACUAAAAGGUUGUCAUUACGUUCUGUCUGUAUAAGCACAUUCCAUUGGAAGAAAAUUCUAUUUCCUGUUCUAUAUUCUGUUUAACUGGCAGAGUACUAUUGGUGAUUUAUGCCGCUCAGUACAAGUGAAAAAAAAAAAAAAAAAAAGCAGGUUUAUGCUUUGUUGUUGAGUCUUUUAGGUCCCAGACCACUCCGCAGAUUCCUCCGAGUUGGAAACUGCACAUUAAGCAUUUACAUGUGUUGUAUCUGGUUUCAUGUGCAAUCAUAUAUGCAUUCAUGUGGAGGCCAUAAGACAACCUCAGGAGCUGCGGGGUCUUUUACUGGCCUAGAGCUUGCUGAUGGUACUACUCAGCAGGCCAGCAAGCCACAGCUACCUUCUCCAUCUCUGUCUCUCGAACCCUAGGAGAGCAUAUGCAUGCUGUGAUGAUGGCUUUUAUGGGUGUUCUGGGAUGGAAUUUAGGUCCACUUGCAAUCACUUUACUGACUGAGCCAUUUACCUUGUCCCUUACAUAUGCUUUUAUAGGGUUCAUAGAUCUUCUGACCAUUAGUUAUGACCUUUGCUGUAUUUAUAAUCUGAAGCCAAGGUUUUAUCUUUAGCAAAUGAGUAUCAGUUGAAAGAAAUUCAUCCAGGUUUUUUUUUGUGUGUGUGGAUUUUUUGUUUUUUGUUUUUUUGUUUUUAUUUUUUUGCUUGGCAUUGAAUUUAAUUUCAGGGCUGGGUUCCUUUGUAAAAAUGGAGCAGUACUGUUAUCUGGGAGAAGGUACAGAACGUGGGAAGUCUGAGAAUUAUUAACUCAAAGGUGGAUAUGCUGUCAAAUUGACAGCAAGGACUGUGUCCCCAGGGACUUCUAUUGCCAGGACUAUUUUUGUUGUUUCUUUCUGUGAGCCUUGAAGUGGUGAAUUCAUCCUCUGAGGUUGUGUGCCCAUUGCUGC
rnacentral:lncRNA from 1 species